CGACGGGGGGUGCUAGCGUUGUUCGGAAUUACUGGGCGUAAAGGGCGCGUAGGCGGCUCUGCGAGUCGGGCGUGAAAUCCCGGGGCUCAACCCCGGAACGGCGCUCGAUACUGCGGGGCUGGAGACCGGAAGAGGAGGGUGGAAUUCCCAGUGUAGAGGUGAAAUUCGUAGAUAUUGGGAGGAACACCGGUGGCGAAAGCGGCUCUCUGGUCCGGUUCUGACGCUGAGGCGCGAAAGCGUGGGGAGCAAACAGGAUUAGAUACCCUAGUAGUCC
rnacentral:rRNA from 1 species